rnacentral:lncRNA from 1 species
AAUAUUUCGCAACAAAAAAAGAUAAAUCAUUUAAGAUGUUUUCACAAAUAAAAUAUGAAGAAAAAAAGUCAUUUAAUUUAUGUUGCUACAUACAUAUAUUCAAUCUAUUAGAAAAAAUACAAAUCAUUCAUGAUACCAAUGGCACACACAGUCUAAAGAGAAAGUUGAAGAAGCUAGAAAGUUCCAAAAGUAAUAAGAAAUGAAUUAAGCUGAGAAGCCAAUAAAAAGAUGAUCAUGUGGAUGAUAAUGAGUGAAGGACUUGUCUUUAUUGUUGUUCUCAAUCCUCUCAUGUGAAUGAGUUUGUGAGGUUUUUGUGGAAGCCACCAUGGUGGUUUUGAGCUUUUUCUCAAGCCUUCUCUUUCUAACAUAAUCUUCUGGAAUGAACACAUCCAUCAUGUACUAGUUUGUAAGUAAAAAUUGGUAAAUGUAAA